rnacentral:piRNA from 1 species
UGGGGACAAAAUCCUAGCAUGUGUA